rnacentral:lncRNA from 1 species
GGAGUGAGUUUGACCACAGUGUGAAGAGAAGCCCCAUGUCUGAGUGUGCAGACCUGGCCAUGUUUUGCUAUGUUUCAGAUUGACAGGUCUGUAGCUGGGAUGCAGUGUGAGCGUGAGGCUGGACCUGGACUGACCAAGUGGAAGGCCCAUCCUGCUCUGGGCAGUUACAGAUGUCCCCUCCAGGUGUUAAGCCAGCUUCACAGGUCCCUGCAGAUGUGGGCCGUAUGCUGGGACACCAGAGAUGAUGUUCUGAAGGCAUGUCACAUGAUCAGGU